GAAAAAGGAAAAGAGAAGAGAAAGGAAGGAGGAGGGGAAGUCUGGGAUGAUCGGAGAGGAAAAACAAGAAGAAAAACGAAAGGAAGAAAGAAAAGAUAGAAAAGAGGGAAGAGAGAAAAUUUUUCGCAGUUCAGGCUGAUUUUCUGUCACUUUUGGUGGCCAUUUUCUCCACUGAAUCAGCCUCUUCUUGAUGUUUUAAGAGAUCUGGGGUAUCUAUGAAGUGAGAGGACAAAUUUUCGUUCAGAAAUUCUAUUUGGAAAACGCCUAAAAAUCCUUUGAAUUAAACCCUCAACUUACUGGGUCGUCAUCACUGGUUUCCACUGGCGCACCUUCGAGGAUCCGCCAGAUCCAUCUGAGUCCUUUUCUUUGGUCAUCCCACACUUUGUUUCGUGAUUAAGGUAAUAUUCUCAUCCUUUUCCAGUCAGAUAUUGUUAGAUUUAGAACAGAAACGUUGAGAUUUUUGCUGCUGUUUUUUUUUUUGUUUUAUUUUCUUGUUUGUUCCCUUUCUGCUGUCUUCUUUUCUUCUUCCCCGUGUUCCCACAAGACAUUAGUUUAAAAUCCCCUCUACAUCAGUGGAUGUUGAUUUCAUGUGCUUGAGUGUUUAGAUUUUGUAUGUGUUUGGACUUGAAUCUCGACAGAGCUGUAUACAUAGUAGACCCAUGAACUGAGUUAAGAAAAUGCAACAAUCAUUCGAAUCUAAUGCGUGGAAAUCUCUUUUGCAUUUGGAUGAUUAAGAACACUGUAACAUGUUUUGCCUAAAUUUUGCUUCCCCGGCACGUAAGAAAUUCUAAAGUUUCACUAGUCGGAAGUUAUGUUUGAUUGUGUUGAAUCAGUUGCAAGCGAAAAAAAAGAAGGAAGAAAGUUGCAGAAAGCUUCAGUUGCAGAAUGCUUCUUCCAAGCUUUGCAUGCAAAACUUCCAAAAAUUGCAUUUUAACCCCUCUAGUUUUCCCUUAUUUCACUAUGGCCCAAAAGUAUGGAACAUAAUCAAUUUUAUCCUUUUGAAAUUCAAUCAUCUCCUUAUGGUUUUAACCAUGUUUUAAGCAAGUCUCAUUUUCUGGGUUUAGAAGAUAAUUAGAGCUUAAUUAGUGUUUAGAACUUUAAUUUGCUUUGAUUUCAACCCCUAAAGUUUGUAAUAAUAAAAAUUUG
rnacentral:lncRNA from 1 species